CGCCGCCGGUCAGGAGAGAGCCUUUUUCGCAAGGGCCGCCGACGGCGCAGGACACCACCCGAACGCUCAGGCAAAAAGACUGACCCAGGUCA
rnacentral:ncRNA from 2 species